AACGAACGCUGGCGGCAUGCCUAACACAUGCAAGUCGAACGAGACCUUCGGGUCUAGUGGCGCACGGGUGCGUAACGCGUGGGAAUCUGCCCUUGGGUACGGAACAACAGUUAGAAAUGACUGCUAAUACCGUAUGAUGUCUUCGGACCAAAGAUUUAUCGCCCAGGGAUGAGCCCGCGUAGGAUUAGCUAGUUGGUGAGGUAAAGGCUCACCAAGGCGACGAUCCUUAGCUGGUCUGAGAGGAUGAUCAGCCACACUGGGACUGAGACACGGCCCAGACUCCUACGGGAGGCAGAAGUGGGGAAUAUUGGACAAUGGGCGAAAGCCUGAUCCAGAAAGGCCGCGUGAGUGAUGAAGGCCUGAGGGUUGUAAAGCUCUUUUACCCGGGAUGAUAAUGACAGUACCGGGAGAAUAAGCCCCGGCUAACUCCGUGCCAGCCGCCGCCGUAAAAC
rnacentral:rRNA from 1 species